rnacentral:rRNA from 1 species
UACGUAGGGUGCAAGCGUUAAUCGGAAUUACUGGGCGUAAAGCGUGCGCAGGCGGUUAUGUAAGACAGAUGUGAAAUGCCCGGGCUUAACCUGGGAACUGCAUUUGUGACUGCAUGGCUAGAGUUUGGCAGAGGGGGGGGUAGAAUUCCACGUGUAGCAGUGAAAUGCGUAGAUAUGUGGAGGAACACCGAUGGCGAAGGCAGCCCCCUGGGUCAAGACUGACGCUCAUGCACGAAAGCGUGGGGAGCAAACAGGAUAGAAACCC